CAGGUAGAGUGGACAGUGAGAGAGAGAGACAGAGAGAAAGGUUUUCCUUUUCCAUUGGUUCAUCCCCCAAUGGCCGCUGUGGCUGGCGCACCGCCAGGUGCUUCUCCUGGUCUCCCAUGGGGUGCAGGGCCCAAGCACUUGGGCCAUCCUCCACUGCACUCCCGGGCCACAGCAGAGAGCUGGCCUGGAAGAGGGGCAACAGGGACAGAAUCUGGCGCCCCGGCCGGGACUAGAACCCAGGGUGCUGGCGCCGCAGGCGGAGGAUUAGCCUAUUGAGCCGUGGCGCCAGCCUUAUUUGUUUUUUGAAAAAGGUUUAUUCAUUUAUUUGAGAGGCAGAUUUACAGACAGAAGGAGGGAGAGGUCGUCCAUCCACUGGUUCACUCCCCAAAUGGCUGCAAUGGCCUGAGCUGGGCUGAUCUGAAGCCAGGAGCCAGGAGCUUCUUCCAGGUCCCCCAUGUGGGUGCAGGGGCCCAAAUAUUUGGGCCAUCUUCUACUGCUUUCCCAGGCCUCUAACAGGGAGUUGGGUCAGAAGUGGAGCAGCCAGGACUUGCACUGGCACCACAGGCAGAGGCUUCGCCUACUAAGCCACAGUACCAGCCCUACAAUCAUUGUUUAUUAAGCCAUCACCGUCACCCUGUGAGGUUGGAAUUGGCAUCUAUGUCCUAAAGAUGGGGAUCGAGGGCACGGGCCCUGACGACGCUGUGCGCCGGGCGGACGUGGGGGGCCUGUGAGUGGGGCGGGGCUUGUCCUUAGUCUGCGGUUCUAGUAUUUUAGUAUCUAGAAUUCUAGUAUUUUUUUAAAAAACUUUAUUUUUGUUUCUAUUUUUUGAAAGGCAGAGAGAGAAGAGAUUGAGAUUUUCCACUCACUGGAUCACUGCCCAAAUGACCACGACAGCCAGGCUGGGCCAUGCCCGAGCCGGGAGCCUGAAACGCAACCUGGGCCUCCCACGGGGCUGGCGUGACGCAAGUGCAAGUACGUGGGCGCAUGCGCAGGAAGGUGGCGUCAGGUGCAGGGCCGGCGCCUGCGCUCCGAACAGCUGUGCCGCACACCUGGUUUUAAGACCAUCGCUAGUGGCGCGAAUCAAGCGUCUAAAGGACCAACUCUGAGAACAUCUCUGCCAAGUGUCGUGCAGUAAAAACGACUUCGUGGGACGCUGACCUCACACAGAAAGUGAGGAGCAGCCGUGCUGUGGGAACAGCAGCGGGUCACGGCACAUCUCCCACGCGCGGGCACGGCCCCUGUGCCCAUCGUACAGAUGGCAACACGGCAGCCCUGGG
rnacentral:lncRNA from 1 species